rnacentral:rRNA from 1 species
UACGUAGGGUGCAAGCGUUAUCCGGAAUGAUUGGGCGUAAAGGGCUCGUAGGCGGUCUGUUGCGUCGGGAGUGAAAACUCAGGGCUUAACCCUGAGCCUGCUUCCGAUACGGGCAGACUAGAGGUAUGCAGGGGAGAACGGAAUUCCUGGUGUAGCGGUGAAAUGCGCAGAUAUCAGGAGGAACACCGGUGGCGAAGGCGGUUCUCUGGGCAUUACCUGACGCUGAGGAGCGAAAGUGUGGGGAGCGAACAGG